ACCUUGCCACAGAUGGCGUUGCGCAGUGCACACCUGAUUUUGUCCCCCACUUGGUUGUGCAGGGAAGGGAUGGCACACUUGGAAAAGUAGUGGGGCUGGGCAUGACUCACUGUGGAAGAAUUUUGAAAUGCUGGCAUUCAGGGCCAGGGAUCGC